UAUGCACACAAAAACUUGUCCACAAAUGUUUAUAGCAGUAUAAUUCAUAAUAGCCAAAAAUGGAAAUAACCCAAAUACCUACCAGCCGAUGAAUGGAUAAAUAGACGUAGUAUAUCUAUGCAAUGGCACAUUAUUGAACUAUGGAAAGAAAGGAAGUACUGACACAGGCUCCAACAUGGAUGAACCUUGAAAACAUCAUGCUAAGUGAAAGAAGCCUUGCGAAAAGCCACACACUCCAUGAUGCUGUUUAUAUGAAAUGCCCGGAAUAGGCAAAAUUACCAAGACAAAUUAUACAACCGUGGUUGCCAGGGGCUGGAGGCUGGGGUGGGUGGGGCGUGACUGCGGAGCGCCAUAUGGGCUUUCUUUGUGGUGAUGAAAAUUUUCUUUGGUUAGUGAUGUGCACGAUUUUGAGAAUAUGCUAAAAGCCCCUGAAUUAAAUACUUCAAACAAUGUUGACGAGCUGAAUUCAGAGGCAACCAGCUUGAAGGAUGCAUUUCUUGGAAUCUCUUACCUCCCAGAACUUUUGUUUCUCACUGACUCACCGUUUCAGAAGAAUCCAUGGUUUUCUUACUCAGUUUUCCUGCGAGACAUGGUGUUUCUGGUUUCAGCAAAAGUACCAGCAGUGAUAAUACCCGGUAAACGUGUCGUCAGAUGUCCUCUCAGCCUUGAGGUAACAACACGACCGUGUCCAAGAAACACCUUUAGUCGUUAAAUACAGGCCGUUAUAGAUCAGAGGUUUUCCGACUGGGACUGGCCAGCUCAGUGGCACUCUGGGGCACUUUUUUUAUUUGCACAUAUAUAUUUUUGGACUCACUGUGACACAGCAAGAGCACUUCCCAAAGCCCCAGAUCUCCACACACACUUUCCUCUUCUCCCUACACACUGCAUUGUAUACACAUGUGCACAUACGCGCACAGUAGAACGAGCUAGCAGGGUCUGGAUGUUCAGGGAGAAGAGAGGCGUGCCCUGAAAUGCCAGUGUUCGAAACCCCAGCAUUUAGGACAAGAUCUUCAGUAUAACUGGAGACUGAGGACGAUGUCAUCUUUGAACCCGGAGGCAGUGCAGUGUUGCUGUGACGGGCGCUUAGUGUCAACACCAGCCAGUCCUGGCUCUUUGGGAAGCUAACAGGGUGCUGGUUUGGGGUUCCGUGCCCACCUCCAGGACACUGGGCACCCUGGGUGCAAGUGCAGCAGUGGUGGGGUCUGUUGGCAUUUGAGCCUCUCUACUCACCAGCCAGAGACGCCCCAUUCUCUGCUGUUCCCAGGGAAGUUGCCAUCCUAGCAGCCGCCAGAGGCCACUGGGGAUCAAGGAGACAGCCACUCAAUAGAUUUUUCUGACCACGGGCACGACCUUGCUGAGAACCCAGGAGUUGCAAGGUUCUUGGGCACCAGAACCAACUGGGACACCUUCCUCAUUCUUCUCCCGUGAAAGCUCUGGUUGGGACCUUGGCUCUCAUUAUGGCAAAGGAGUCUUUUGUAGCCAGUCAGUGACAUUUGAUUCUAGCAGUGCCGCUGGCUACACGCCCAUCCACUCCCUGUCUCGUGCUGGAGAGUAUUUUCACAAUCGCUUGCUCCUUCCCCAACCGAAGUCUGGAAGAAGGAGAGUAGGGGUCCAGGACGCUGCUUGGGGCUUGGUCGUUUCUGUCCUCCUCUGGACCCCACUCCUAAGGUCCUCCAGCCACCUUUGCCCACCGUUUCAGGCCUGUUUACAAACCUAACACAUGCCUGGAGGUGCCAAUAAAUUGGAGCGUGCAGAUUUUCUUCCGGAAUGUUUCAUUGUUCUGAUGUUGAAAAGUGAAAUGCGAACAGUUGAGGACUCAUAGCCUUAUUUCUUUAGGCCCUGAAAAAAAGUCUGUCACACCAUUUGGUCUCCCUUGGGGGAUGGGUCUAUGGGUUAUGACUGCAGGAAGCUGCCUUUUAAGAAGAUCCUGGUUUCAAAGUGCUCGACCUUUUGUGUUUAAUUGCGACGAAAUGCCCCUAAAUGCAAAAUGUGAAUUCCUCGAUUUUGUUCUAGUUGGUGACUUUCUGUGGCACCUGCUGUCUGUGCUCAUUGGUGAUUGAUGUGCCCGAUUAUGAGAUGCCUGCUUCAUUAGCUCCUUUAUAGAAGGUGCACUUAAUAAACAUAUUUUUUUCC
rnacentral:lncRNA from 1 species